GUGGUUAAGAAAGUGGUUCACCGAAGUAGAUAUGUCUAGAAGUAGCAAGAGGAAGGAUAAGUGAGGGCGGAAAUUGAGACUGUUGACUUCAAGUUUGGGGCACCGUGUACACAAUGAAGGAGAAGAGGAAGAAAAGGAGAGCGUGCUUCAGCGGAAAUGUACCAACCUUAUAAGAAGACGAUGUGUUGAAUUCACCGACGUUGCAACCAGAUGUUGACAGUAAACAAUGCCAAAGAAAAACAAAAGAAGACUAUGAAAGCGGAUUACUGAGGCCAGACGCGCCUAAAGCAGACUGGGGAGCGGGUCGUAUCUGAAACUUAAAGAUUUGAAAUUACAAAUUUUUGUGUGAAGCACAUCAGGUGGUGGCAAUUCAAUGCAAAUAUAUCACGAUGUAAACAGGCCAGUCAUCUUGCUGUUAGCCAAUCUGCCUGGAGAGGACAUGGAGACUGCGCAAGACAAAAUGUACCUGAUGCGCAAAAGACUUGCAAAAUCCAAAGUCUAUGCACUUUGCUGCUAUUCACUCCCACAGCAGUCGAGCUUGUUCACGUAUAUCUAUUUCAAGGAAGGUCAAUACACUUGCUUGACGCUCACCUGCACACCAGUUGCAUGUGGAAUAAGUUUCUCCACUUUGAAGAUUGGCAGUAUCAAACCCCAGGAGCAGAUGUGUCACAGGAUACAAUGGAGGCCCUUAUGCUGACAACAACAGAGAACGAGAUCCUCCUGACCUUUGCUGUGAUGAUGUAAUCGAGGAGUUUAAGGAGAAAGGAAAUUUUUCUCAGCGAGUUAACUUCAUAAAGGUUGGAUGAGGAGCUGUCGCCAUGUGUUCCCGUCUCGAUGAGCCGAGAUGCCUUUCGGGUGCUGCGAGUUGAUGAAAUGCAAAGAAGGUUACAUUGCUCAGUGCUUUUUCUGACCCUGUUCAGGCAUCUGAGGGAAGAUGCGAAAAGCAUGUGGGGAACAUUUCAGCACAUGAUGUCCUCCUAUUAGGCUCUGUGUCCUAAAGAGAGGCAGUGUUGAAGAGGGCAUGAAUGGGAUGAAAACAUUCUGUGGGAGGCCAGAAGAAUGUAACACACAGAGUUCAUGAGAGAGAGAGAAAUGGCAUCUGCAACCAGCUCAUGUCUGCAAUGUUAGAUCUGAAAAUAAAUUCUGUAGAGUAUCAGUUA